GGAGUAUACUAUGGAAGAUGUUUCUUUCAAGGGUCCGUCCAAUUGGAUUCCUUUUAAGGAAAUGUUUUACCAUGACAACUUCCUAGUCGCUGCCGGCUUACGGCAGGACGAGGACAGAGAUUCAGCCAGGAGCAAACUAAGGAAGUCUUGGAUUGGAGACAUGAGCUCGUCCAGAUUUGCGGAUACUCUAUGGAAGGAGUACAGUAAGUCAGGUGCCGAAAAGAGGGCCGACACUCUG